GAUGAACGCUGGCGGCGUGCCUAAUACAUGCAAGUCGAGCGAACGGACGAGAAGCUUGCUUCUCUGAUGUUAGCGGCGGACGGGUGAGUAACACGUGGAUAACCUACCUAUAAGACUGGGAUAACUUCGGGAAACCGGAGCUAAUACCGGAUAAUAUUUUGAACCGCAUGGUUCAAAAGUGAAAGACGGUCUUGCUGUCACUUAUAGAUGGAUCCGCGCUGCAUUAGCUAGUUGGUAAGGUAACGGCUUACCAAGGCAACGAUGCAUAGCCGACCUGAGAGGGUGAACGGCCACAAUGGAACUGAGGCACGGGCCAGACUCCUAAGGGAGGGAGCAGUAGGGAAACUUCCGCAAUGGGCGGAAGGCUGAAGGAGCAACGCCGCGUGGGUGAUGAAGGUCUUCGGAUCGGAAAACUCUGUUAUUAGGGAAGAACAUAUGUGUAAGUAACUGUGCACAUCUUGACGGUACCUAAUCAGAAAGCCACGGCUAACUACGUG
rnacentral:rRNA from 1 species